rnacentral:rRNA from 1 species
UACGAAUGGUGCGAGCGUUGUUCGGAAUCACUGGGCAUAAAGAGCACGUAGGCGGCGACAUAAGUCAUGUGUGAAAUCCCCCGGCUUAACCGAGGAACUGCAUUUGAUACUGUGUUGCUAGAGGGCGGGAGGGGAGAACGGAAUUCCUGGUGGAGCGGUGAAAUGCACAGAUAUCAGGAGGAACGCCGGAGGCGAAAGCGGUUCUCUGGCCCGCAACUGACGCUGAGGUGCGAAAGCUAGGGGAGCAAACAGGAUUAGAUACCCUGGUAGUCCUAGCCGUAAACGAUGGGCACUAAGUAGAGGGGCACCAAAGGCCUCUCUGCCGGAGCUAAUGUGUUAAGUGCCCCGCCUGGGGAGUAUGGUCGCAAGGCUG